CCUACGGGAGGCAGCAGUGAGGAAUAUUGGUCAAUGGACGCAAGUCUGAACCAGCCAUGCCGCGUGCAGGAAGACGGCUCUAUGAGUUGUAAACUUCUUUUGUACGAGGGUAAACUCAGAUACGCGUAUCUGUCUGAAAGUAUCGUACGAAUAAGGAUCGGCUAACUCCGUGCCAGCAGCCGCGGUAAUACGGAGGAUUCAAGCGUUAUCCGGAUUUAUUGGGUUUAACGGGUUCGUAGUCGGUCGGGUAAGUUAGUGGUGAAAUCCCGAGGCUCAACUUCGGAAUUGCCUUUGAUACUGGUCGGCGAGAGAGUAGUUGAGGUAGGCGGAAUGUAUGGUGGAGCGGUGAAAUGCUUAGAGAUCAGACAGAACACCGAUUGCGAAGGCAGCUUACCAAGCUACUUCUGACGUUGAUGCACGAAAGCGUGGGGAGCAAACAGGAUUAGAUACCCCUGUAGUC
rnacentral:rRNA from 1 species